rnacentral:rRNA from 1 species
CAGUCGCCGCGGGAAUACGUAGGUGGCAAGCGUUGUCCGGAAUUAUUGGGCGUAAAGGGCUCGCAGGCGGUUUCUUAAGUCUGAUGUGAAAGCCCCCGGCUCAACCGGGGAGGGUCAUUGGAAACUGGGAAACUUGAGUGCAGAAGAGGAGAGUGGAAUUCCACGUGUAGCGGUGAAAUGCAUAGAGAUGUGGAGGAACACCAGUGGCGAAGGCGACUCUCUGGUCUGUAACUGACGCUGAGGAGCGAAAGCGUGGGGAGCGAACAGGAUUAGAUACCCCUGUAGUCCCUGUCUCUUAUAC